AAGCUAUUCUGUCGUCGUCGAUCCUCAGAUUAAAUGCUCCUUCUGCGAAUCAUGAUGUUGCUUGUGAUCGUGGAGAAGAGGAACAACAAAUACCACAUGUUGGAGCAGUGGAGAUUGAAGUACCAAAUGAGGAUGUGGUUGAUAAAUAUGCUGAGAUGGCACCUAAAGUUGGAAUGACUUUUGAC